UGAACGCCGAUUUCGCAACGCUUUUUUGGAGCGAGAACGCCGAGCUACUACGGCAAAGGCCAUAGUCGAGCUGGCUGAGGCGUUGGAGUGCGACCCCAAUAUUUCUAGAGCGGACCUUUUGGCUGAGGCCAUUAGCUACAUACAGAGGAUGUCGAAAGGUCCGAUGGAAACAAUCAGCCAGCUGACUGACACAAAUAGCAGUCUUGAAUUCCAAAUAACUAAAUUGAAGACGGAACUCAAGGAUCGUGGUGUAUGCCGUAAAAAGCAAAGUCGCGGAGAGUUCUAAUGCGAGUCUUCGGCCGAAGAAGAAAAGAAAGGGGAAGGGGAAAGGAGAAUAGAACCGGAGAGAAUGUUCAGACUCUGACUUCGGAGUUAUGGACAUAGGAUCGGACGAAGAUCUCCGAUCGAAAAGCCUGAGUGAUUUGCAGAGAGAAUAUUUGGGCGACGUUGUGUCUUUAAUAAUGGACUAAAGUCCUUUAUUAGACGACACUCGAGCCAAUAUUCUCUCGACUUGGGUUUUUCGAUGCGCUGUCGUCGUCCGACGCUCCGAUUUCCGGUGUCCGACCUAACUCCAAGACUAAAGGUACUCUGACCUGACCCUGACCCAUUAGUUAAGUACAACUAGAUUAGGUAUCUAUGGCUGUUUCAAUUUAUAUAAUUUGAAGGGAACUAUUCAAUAGUUGAAAAUGUAUGUAUUUAUACAAAGAAAC